rnacentral:rRNA from 1 species
GAUGAACGCUGGCGGCGUGCCUAACACAUGCAAGUCGAGCGAACGGACGAGAAGCUUGCUUUUCUGAUGUUAGCGGCGGACGUGUGAGUAACACGUGGAUAAUCUACCUAUAAGACUGGGAUAACUUCGGGAAACCGGAGCUAAUACCGGAUAAUAUCUUGAACCGUAUGGUUCAAAAGUGAAAGACGGUCUUGCUGUCACUUAUAGAUGGAUCCGCGCUGCAUUAGCUAGUUGGUAAGGUAACGGCUUACCAAGGCAACGAUGCAUAGCCGACCGGAGAGGGUGAUCGGCCACACUAGAACUGAGCCACGGUCCAGACUCCUACGAGAGGCAGCAGUAGGGAAUCUUCCGCAAUGGGCGGAAGCCUGACGGAGCAACGCCGCGUGGGUGAUGAAGGUCUUCGGAUCGUAAAACUCUGUUAUUAGGGAAGAACAUAUGUGUAAGUAACUGUACAGAUCUUGACGGUACCUAAUCAGAAAGCCACGGCUAACUACGUG